ACGACCGUACCGCAAACCGACACUGGUGCGCGAGAUGAGUAUUCUAAGGCGCUUGAGAGAACUCAGGAGAAGGAACUCGGCAAAUUGACACCGUAACUUCGGAAGAAGGUGUGCCUUUAGUAGGUGAACCAUUUACUUGGGGAGCCCAAUGAGGCUGCAAAAAAUCGGUGGCUGCAACUGUUUAUUAAAAACACAGCACUCUGCUAAGACGAAAGUCGACGUAUAGGGUGUGACGCCUGCCCGGUGCUGGAAGAUUAAAUGAUGGGGUGCAAGCUCUUGAUUGAAGUCCCAGUAAACGGCGGCCGUAACAAUAACGGUCCUAAGGUAGCGAAAUUCCUUGUCGGGUAAGUUCCGACCUGCACGAAUGGCGUAAUGAUGGCCACACUGUCUCCUCCUGAGACUCAGCGAAGUUGAAAUGUUUGUGAUGAUGCAAUCUCCCCGCGGAAAGACGGAAAGACCCCAUGAACCUUUACUGUAGCUUUGUAUUGGACUUUGAACAGAUCUGUGUAGGAUAGGUGGGAGGCUUUGAAGUGUGGUCGCUAGAUCGCAUGGAGCCAACGUUGAAAUACCACCCUGGUGUGUUUGAGGUUCUAACCUAGGUCCAUUAUCUGGAUCGGGGACAGUGCAUGGUAGGCAGUUUGACUGGGGCGGUCUCCUCCCAAAUUGUAACGGAGGAGUUCGAAGGUACGCUAGGUACGGUCGGACAUCGUGCUAAUAGUGCAAUGGCAUAAGCGUGCUUAACUGCGAGACUGACAAGUCGAGCAGAUGCGAAAGCAGGACAUAGUGAUCCGGUGGUUCUGUAUGGAAGGGCCAUCGCUCAACGGAUAAAAGGUACUCUGGGGAUAACAGGCUGAUACCGCCCAAGAGUUCAUAUCGACGGCGGUGUUUGGCACCUCGAUGUCGGCUCAUCUCAUCCUGGGGCUGUAGCCGGUCCCAAGGGUAUGGCUGUUCGCCAUUUAAAGAGGUACGUGAGCUGGGUUUAAAACGUCGUGAGACAGUUUGGUCCCUAUCUUCCGUGGGCGCUGCAGAUUUGAGGAAGCCUGCUCCUAGUACGAGAGGACCGGAGUGGACGAGCCUCUGGUGUAUCGGUUGUCACGCCAGUGGCAUUGCCGAGUAGCUAAGUUCGGAAGAGAUAACCGCUGAAAGCAUCUAAGCGGGAAACUCGUUUCAAGAUUAGAUCUGCCGGGGCCUUGAGCCCCCUAAAGAGUCGUUCAAGACCAGGACGUUGAUAGGUCAGGUGUGGAAGCG
rnacentral:rRNA from 1 species